rnacentral:rRNA from 1 species
UGAAAUCGCUGUGAAGAUGCAGUGUACCCGCGGCUAGACGGAAAGACCCCGUGAACCUUUACUACAGCUUGGCACUGAACAUUGACCCUACAUGUGUAGGAUAGGUGGGAGGCUUUGAAGCACGUACGCCAGUAUGUGUGGAGCCGUCCUUGAAAUACCACCCUUGUAGUGUUGAUGUUCUAACGUCGACCCCUUAUCGGGGUUGCGGACAGUGCCUGGUGGGUAGUUUGACUGGGGCGGUCUCCUCCCAAAGAGUAACGGAGGAGCACGAAGGUGGGCUAAUCACGGUUGGACAUCGUGAGGUUAGUGCAAUGGCAUAAGCCCGCUUGACUGCGAGAAUGACAAUUCGAGCAGGUGCGAAAGCAGGUCAUAGUGAUCCGGUGGUUCUGAAUGGAAGGGCCAUCGCUCAACGGAUAAAAGGUACUCCGGGGAUAACAGGCUGAUACCGCCCAAGAGUUCAUAUCGACGGCGGUGUUUGGCACCUCGAUGUCGGCUCAUCACAUCCUGGGGCUGAAGUCGGUCCCAAGGGUAUGGCUGUUCGCCAUUUAAAGUGGUACGCGAGCUGGGUUUAGAACGUCGUGAGACAGUUCGGUCCCUAUCUGCCGUGGGCGUUGGAAGAUUGAAGGGGGCUGCUCCUAGUACGAGAGGACCGGAGUGGACGAACCUCUGGUGUUCGGGUUGUGUCGCCAGACGCAUUGCCCGGUAGCUAAGUUCGGAAUCGAUAACCGCUGAAAGCAUCUAAGCGGGAAGCGAGCCCUGAGAUGAGUCUUCCCUGAUACUUUAAGUAUCCUAAAGGGUUGUCGGAGACUACGACGUUGAUAGGUCAGGUGUGUAAGUGCUGUGAGGCAUUGAGCUAACUGAUACUAAUUGCCCGUGAGGCUUAACCAU